rnacentral:rRNA from 1 species
GAUGAACGCUGGCGGCGUGCCUAAUGCAUGCAAGUCGAGCGAACGGACGAGAAGCUUGCUUCUCUGAUGUUAGCGGCGGACGGGUGAGUAACACGUGGAUAACCUACCUAUAAGACUGGGAUAACUUCGGGAAACCGUAGCUAAUACCGGAUAAUAUUUUGAACCGCAUGGUUCAAAAGUGAAAGACGGUCUUGCUGUCACUUAUAGAUGGAUCCGCGCUGCAUUAGCUAGUUGGUAAGGUAACGGCUUACCAAGGCAACGAUGCACAGCCGACCUGAGAGGGUGAUCGGCCACACUGGAACUGAGACACGGUCCAGACUCCUACGGGAGGCAGCAGUAGGGAAUCUUCCGCAAUGGGCGAAAGCCUGACGGAGCAACGCCGCGUGAGUGAUGAAGGUCUUCGGAUCGUAAAACUCUGUUAUUAGGGAAGAACAUAUGUGUAAGUAACUGUGCACAUCUUGACGGUACCUAAUCAGAAAGCCACGGCUAACUACGUG